rnacentral:rRNA from 1 species
AACAAACGCUGGCGGCGUGCCUAAUACAUGCAAGUCGAACGGGGAAAGCUUUCGGGUGAGUACUAGUGGCGCACGGGUGAGGAACGCGUGGAUAAUCUGCCUUAGAGUGGGGGAUAACUAGUCGAAAGAUUAGCUAAUACCGCAUAAGACCACAGGAGCUGCGGCUCUAGGGGUCAAAGGUUUUUCGCUCUAAGAUGAGUCCGCGUAAGAUUAGCUAGUUGGUGAGGUAACGGCUCACCAAGGCGACGAUCUUUAACUGGUCUGAGAGGAUGAUCAGGCACACUGGAACUGAGACACGGUCCAGACUCCUACGGGAGGCAGCAGUAGGGAAUAUUGCACAAUGGAGGAAACUCUGAUGCAGCGACGCCGCGUGAGUGAUGAAGGCCUUCGGGUCGUAAAGCUCUGUCGCAGGGGAAUAACACAAUGAAUGUACCCUGUAAGAAAGGAUCGGCUAACUUCGUGCCAGCCGCCGCGGUAAGAC